GGGGGUUUAGCUCAGUGGUAGAGCGCUUGCCUAGGAAGCGCAAGGCCCUGGGUUCGGUUCCCAGCUCCG
rfam:Rattus norvegicus chromosome 14, whole genome shotgun sequence.